rnacentral:rRNA from 1 species
ACGCUCGACACCUAAGGCAGCAGUGGGGAAUAUUGCACAAUGGGGGAAACCCUGAUGCAGCAACGCCGCGUGAAGGAAGACGGUUUUCGGAUUGUAAACUUCUGUUCUUAGUGAAGAUAGUGACGGUAGCUAAGGAGCAAGCCACGGCUAACUACGUGCCAGCAGCCGCGGUAAUCUGAGCGGGCUGGCAAGGC